rnacentral:lncRNA from 10 species
GUGUGCGUCACCCCGGCCUUGGCUGGGUCGCCAAACACUGUCGAAACUUUCUGGCUGUCUUUAGAAGAUACCCUCUACUAGUCACUUGACGGGCAGGAGGUGCAACGCGGAAGGAAACAUCACGGAUUGGGGGUACUGGAAACUUUUAAAAGGGAGAGCCAUGGUAACCUGCCCCUGCCUUCUACCUCGUCUCUGUGUGUGGCAUCCUGGAGCCAUGUUUCCACCAACGUCUUGACUGUGGCAGAUCUGAGAAACUCUACAUUAUACACAAAUGUUCUCUGGCCCCAGAGAUUAUCGCAGUACAUUGGGUGAGGGUAAGGGGUGAUGAUUCAGGAAGCCAGAAGGCUUGUGGCAGAAUGUCUUCAUUUUGCUGGAACAUCAUGAAAAACUACCUGAUCAGAGUGUCCAUAUGUAAAGAGUUGUAGCAAGUAUACAUGUGUGAGGAGGAAGUAAUUCUCUUUCAAAAAAUCAAGGAAAGGGAGGCAGGAAAAUGAAGUAAUUAGGAGUGUAAAUAGAGAUUAAGCUACAUUUAUACUUUAGUGUUCUCAUUUCAUACUUGUGUGACUUUGGGCAAGGUACUUACCCCUCUCAUUCUUGGUUAUCUCAUAUGUAAAAUGGUGAUAAUAUUGUCAUUUAGGAUUUCAGAGAAAAUGAAACAAGACAGUGUAUCUAAAGUGCUUAGAUGGUUCCUGACUCCAAAAAGUUUUGGUUUUUAUUAAGAUACUGCAAGCCUGCCUUUGACCACUGAUUACUUCUGCCUGAGUUGGAGAGAAGUCAUGUUUGUAUAAUAUGUGAUACUGCAUAUAUGAACACAGAAUUUCUUAUUAGUCCCAGGAAAUAUAUUUUGGUAGUUAGAUAUUUAAAAAAAAAUUAGAAUUAUUUCUGGGCUAUCCUUUAAGAUAAUAUUUCAAAAGUUACGUACAUUUCAUACUUUAUUUUCUAUUGUCAUUUCAAUUAUUGUUCAAUUGUCUCUCAAACAAGAUUUUUAAAAAUAUACUACCAGUUCAUUAAUUGAAAUAUUUUCUUGAAUAGAGUGUAAAUGAAUAAAUAUAAUUAUUCAAA